rnacentral:rRNA from 1 species
GAUUAACGCUGGCGGCGUGCAUGAGACAUGCAAGUCGAACGGACGAUCAGGGCUUGCUCUGAUCGUUAGUGGCGGACGGCUGAGUAACGCGUACGCAAUCUGCCCUUCAGUGAGGAAUAGCCCUGGGAAACUGGGAUUAAUACCUCAUAAUAUUGGAGUAUCGCAUGGUACUUUAAUUAAAGUUCUGGCGCUGAAGGAUGAGCGUUCGUCUGAUUAGCUAGUUGGUAGGGUAACGGCCUACCAAGGCGACGAUCAGUAGGGGGCGUGAGAGCGUGACCCCCCACACGGGUACUGAGACACGGACCCGACUCCUACGGGAGGCAGCAGUAAGGAAUAUUGGGCAAUGGAGGCAACUCUGACCCAGCCAUCCCGCGUGAAGGAUUAAGGCCCUAUGGGUUGUAAACUUCUUUUGUUUGGGAAGAAAUCAGGACAUUUAUGUGCUGUUGACGGUACCUUACGAAUAAGCACCGGCUAACUCCGUGCCAGCAGCCGCGGUAAGAC